GAUAAUUUGGAACCAGAAGCACGAGGUUUAGACAAUUGGAUUGGCUUGUUAGUAAUGAAGAAAGAGUUCUGAAGCCAUCAUCUCAUUUGAAAUACAUCAAAGAAACCAGAAGCUGCAAGCAGAAGUGUUUUUUUUCCCUGAUAAAGAUCAAAGGACUUAGCUUGGUCCAAAACUAAAGCAGUUGAGAUGGGGUUCUCAGUUUCUGGUUUUGACUAGGAAGUGGAAUUUAAGAUUUUCUGUUAGAAGAUAGAUGCGUACAGGUUGGUUCACACUUCGCUUUUGCACCAAAAACAAUUGAACGACUUUGUUGUUUAUCUUAAUAAAUAACAAUUCUGCUUAGUUCAGUUUUCAUCACUGGAAAAUUUUAUAGAAAUGGAGAAAAACAAAAACUUUUACACACACACAGAGAAAAAGAUCACAUGGCGGUGAAGUAUGGAACUCCGCUAUGCUCCGUUUUUGGUCCCGUGAGGAUUUUGACGUGUUUAAUGACAUGAAUGGCCUUGGUCAGUUAGUAUGAAUGUAGCAUGUUGGGCCUGUUUUUUGGUAAAACAAAAUGGUAGCCUUGAGAAGAAAAUUAAACCUCUGGCUGCUUGGUUUUAAUGAAAUGCUAAUUUAGGUAUGGUCAAGUUCUGUGGUGUUAGAUUUUGCUUUUGAUCAGCGGUUGUGAUGUUUCUUACUCAAGGUUGCCACUGCCAAGUUGGAGAGGGAAGGCUUUGUGGUAUUUAUUAGGUUCUUAAAUUUGGGAAUUAUAAUAGUUGUCCAAUUUGUAUUAUUGGUAUCCCAAACGACCCAAAAUUUAUUCAUUUUUAUCUCUUUAUUCUUCAAGUAUAUUUAAAA